GCUCCCGUAUAAGUUCUAGAUCUGAUCCAAGAAGAAGUCCUGAUUAUGAGAGAGCUGAAAGCCCAAUCAAUGAUAGAUCCCGUCCUAGUUCUAGACCUGAACCAAGGAGGAGUCCCAGUUAUGAGAGGGCUGCUAGCCCAGUCAAUGAUAGAUCCCGUCCAAGUUCUAGACGUGAACCAAGAAGAAGUCCCAGUUAUGAGAGAGAUGCAAGCCCAGUCAAUGAUAGAUCCCGUCCAAGUUCUAAACCUGAACCAAGAAGAAGUCCCAGUUAUGAGAGAGCUG
rnacentral:lncRNA from 1 species